rnacentral:rRNA from 1 species
AUUGAACGCUGGCGGCAGGCCUAACACAUGCAAGUCGAGCGGAUGAAGGGAGCUUGCUCCUGGAUUCAGCGGCGGACGGGUGAGUAAUGCCUAGGAAUCUGCCUGGUAGUGGGGGAUAACGUCCGGAAACGGGCGCUAAUACCGCAUACGUCCUGAGGGAGAAAGUGGGGGAUCUUCGGACCUCACGCUAUCAGAUGAGCCUAGGUCGGAUUAGCUAGUUGGUGGGGUAAAGGCCUACCAAGGCGACGAUCCGUAACUGGUCUGAGAGGAUGAUCAGUCACACUGGAACUGAGACACGGUCCAGACUCCUACGGGAGGCAGCAGUGGGGAAUAUUGGACAAUGGGCGAAAGGCUGAUCCAGCCAUGCCGGGUGUGUGAAGAAGGUCUUCGGAUUGUAAAGCACUUUAAGUUGGGAGGAAGGGCAGUAAGUUAAUACCUUGCUGUUUUGACGUUACCAACAGAAUAAGCACCGGCUAACUUCGUG